rnacentral:rRNA from 1 species
GUAACCUGGUUGAUCCUGCCAGUAGUCAUACGCUCGUCUCAAAGAUUAAGCCAUGCAUGUCUAAGUAUAAGCAAAUUAUACGGUGAAACUGCGAAUGGCUCAUUAUAUCAGUUUUAGCCUACUUGAUAUUACUUACUACUUGGAUAACCGUAGUAAUUCUAGAGCUAAUACAUGCUUAAAAACCCAACUUCUGG